GGGCGGGUGGCGAAAGAGGCAAACGCGGCGGACUUAAACUCCGCUGGGCCCGUAGGCCCUUGCGGGUUCAACUCCCGCCCCGCCCACCA
rnacentral:tRNA from 1 species